UACGGGGGGGGCAAGCGUUGUUCGGAAUUACUGGGCGUAAAGGGCUCGUAGGCGGCCAACUAAGUCCGACGUGAAAUCCCCAGGCUUAACUUGGGAACUGCGUCGGAUACUGGUUGGCUUGAAUCCGGGAGAGGGAUGCGGAAUUCCAGGUGUAGCGGUGAAGUGCGUAGAUAUCUGGAGGAACACCGGUGGCGAAGGCGGCAUCCUGGACCGGCAUUGACGCUGAGUGAGCGAAAGCCAGGGGAGCAAACGGG
rnacentral:rRNA from 1 species